AAAAAAAAAAGUAGUCUUCAUUCUGUAGAUUGCGAAUUUUUGUUUCUAGGAUAUCUGUAAGUUUUCGUGUAGUCGAGAUCUAAUCUUGGUGGUACAGAUCUGAUCUAGGGUUUACGGUACUUGGAGGAUGCUUGAUUCGGCGUAUAACUGGUAAAAUCCGUUUUGAAGCUUUGUCUCGGCUUGAAACAAUCGUCGAGGUAUGUAAAUCUCUGUUCUCUCGUUUUCAAUUUCUGGUUUAUUUUCGCGAUUUUGGAAUCUAAGAUGAUUUCAAUUUCUGGUUUUGUUUUCUGAAUUUUGGAGGAUUGAAAUCGAACUAGAGAACAAACAUGUAUGAUAAUAAGCUCUUGUCGAUGAGAUUGUUUUCUCGAUUUCAAUUUCUGUUUUUGGUUUUGUUUUCUGAGAGUUGUGGAUGAUUGAAAUCGAACGAGAGAGAACAAAUAUGUAUGAACAGCUCUCGUAGAUGAGAUCGUUUCGCAAUUGAGAUUUUGGAAGCAAGUUGAUUUCAAUUUCUGGUUUAUUUGUUCUUGUUUUCUGAAUUUUGCACGAUUGAAAUCGAACUAGAGAACAAACAUGUAUGAUAUUAUUAGCUCUUGUCGAUGAGAUUGUUUUGCAAAUGACAAUUCGUUUUGGGAUUUUGGAAUCAAGAUGUUUGUUUCAAUAGGAUUUCAAAACCCUUUUUAAUCGUCCUGCAGAUUCUUCUUAAUCUUGGGAUGUAUUGUCAAUUAGUUUUGGUUUUGGUUUCUGUUUUUCUUUCAAAACCCAAGAAGAUUCAUGGGCAGACACUAAUCUAAUAGUGCUCUGUCAGAUUCUUUUUGGGGACAUUGUCCCUUGCAAACUGUGAAUUGAACUGGCUGGGUAGUGCACGCAUGUGUUGGGAGUUGGAAAAGAGGUUUCGAUGGGAAUGACCUACGGGUUAAAAGUCUUAAGACAAAGACUCAAUAACACAAAACAGCUCUAAGAGUUUGAAUGGCAAUGACCUACGGGUUUAAAGUCUCAAGACAAAGACUCGAUAACACAAAAGAGCUCUAAGCUUUUGGUACCCACGGCUUUGAAUGCAAAUGACCUAUGGCUUAGAAAAAUUACAAGACAUAAGAGCUCUAAGAGUUGGAAUGGGAAUGACCUACGGGUUAAAAGUCUUUAGACAAAGACUGAAUAACAGAAAGAGCUCUAAGAUUUUGGUACCCACGGCUUUGGAUGGAAAGAACCUACGGCUUAGAAAAAUUAUAAGACAAAAGAGCAAAGUCUUAAGACAAAGACUGAAUAACACAAAAGAGCUCUGGUACCCACGGCUUUGGAUGGAAAUAACCUAUGGCUUAGAAAAUUUAUAAGACAAAAAGAGCAAAGUCUAAGACAAAGACUGAAUAACACAAAAGAGCUCUGGUACCCACGGCUUUGGAUGGAAACAACCUAUGGCUUAGAAAUAUUACAAGACAAAAGAGCAAAGUCUUAAGACAAAGACUGCUGACAGACACACGACUUAGAGAAGUUAUAAGACAGAGAUACUUGGCAAACCAAUUUAAGAGUGUUUAAGCAGAGGGCCAUUUAAGCUUCAAAAAACAAGGCAAGUAAAGGGGCAUGUAUGUUCAAUGGAGACUAACUAAUUAUGAUUUCCUCAGGUAUGUGGUUCUGAAGGCGUUCAAAUGGACAAACUCUGAGGAGAUUACAAGUGUAGCAGACUUCUUUAACAGGUAUGUGCUUGAAAAAGGUGUUCAUAAUCAGGUAUAGACUUUUCUCAACUUGUCUGUGAUCAAUUGUUAUUAUCACCUGUGAAAAUUAAAUGUUUACGUUAAUUAGUUGUCUUAACUUAUAUAUCUACGUAACGUAAAGAUAUUAGAUAUGUAUAUCUAAGACACCAUUCUAAUUAAAGAUGUAUCUUGAAUACUUGUCUUAACAUCAUUAAUUUCAUUGAUCUAGUAUCUGUUCGAUUGUAGAAA